CCGUGUCAUUAUAUCCAAUAAAUUCAGAAACCUGAAGAGGAAAGAGAAAUAAAGCUCCAUAUGUCUUUCAUUUCCAAAUACAAUUAUAAGUGCAAUAGUAAAGAAAACGUUGAAAGCUUGAUAAAAAUUUCGUUACUAUACUAAUGCUGUAAAGAAAAUGCACCAUUGUUUACAGUUCGCUGAAAUUAAAACACAUAUUUACUAGACUUUUGCCGUCCGAGAAAUAGAUAUUUGUUACUUAAAUUCAUAAUUCAUUACAUUUUAUGAGGUUGUUUCAAUUGCUACAUGCUUUUUAUCUAGCUAUUUUAUUUUCACUAUACAGGCUGCAUAGAUGAGGCAGUUCAAUCCAGUCUUAUUCACAAUCUAUUUCAUUACCUAGGAUAACCAUUUUGGAUUCAUAACUUUUUGGCCUACGAUUUAUGUAAAAGUUAAAUAAAUUAAAUUGUCGCAGCGCUUUUGCUUUAUUUUAUUCAAAGAAAAUGCGAAUACUAUUGCUCAACCUUUUUUAAUUAAAUAUUGUUUAAAUCCUUUAAACAAAACGAUCGGAAAAUCUAGCCAGUGUUCCAAGAUGAAGAUGCAAGUUUCUACUCGAGAAUGGAUCCUUACAUUAAGGCUGGUGCUUUCCAACCCUUACUACACAUAAGGUACUUAUAUUCGUAACGCAUUCAUCCAAACGUGUAGCUCUUUUAGAUUCUAUUAGUUUCUUUUUUUUAGAAGAUAGUUGUGAAU